GCGAACGCUGGCGGCAGGCUUAACACAUGCAAGUCGAGCGGGCACUUUCGGGUGUCAGCGGCGGACGGGUGAGUAACGCGUGGGAACGUGCCCUCUGGUUCGGAAUAACUCAGGGAAACUUGAGCUAAUACCGGAUACGCCCUUUUGGGGAAAGGCUUGCUGCCGGAGGAUCGGCCCGCGUCUGAUUAGCUAGUUGGUGAGGUAACGGCUCACCAAGGCGACGAUCAGUAGCUGGUCUGAGAGGAUGAUCAGCCACACUGGGACUGAGACACGGCCCAGACUCCUACGGGAAGCAGCAGUGGGGAAUAUUGGACAAUGGGCGCAAGCCUGAUCCAGCCAUGCCGCGUGAGUGAUCAAGGCCUUAGGGUUGUAAAGCUCUUUUAUCCGGGACGAUAAUGACGGUACCGGAGGAAUAAGCCCCGGCUAACUUCGUG
rnacentral:rRNA from 1 species